AACCUCUUGCACAUGAACAUUUAUUGGAGGAAUGAAGACAAAGUUGGAGACUGCCUGUAGCUCCAUGACGCCUCGUCUGACAAACUAGUCAGCUCUCAUCGGACUUAGCCAUGGGAAGGCUUUCAGAUGGUGGCAAGAAACUCAAUGUGAAGUCAGGCUAAGAGCCUAUCAAUCAGCCCAGGAAUGACUAAUUAUUGGAGAACAGAAGAUUCUCUGUAGUUUCUCCUUUGUAUCAAUACAUGAAAAAAAAACACCAGAAUUUUGUGGUCAAAUGUGGCUGUAAGUGAACAGAUAAGAGCCGAAGCAAAUGGAAGCAUGCCUCCAUUCCUAAGGGAAGUUGGUGGGCUGCCCACAGAAUUUGCUGAUAAAGACCCAUCUGUUAAAACAAAGUCGAAGAGCGUUGGCAAUACAUUUCAACCAGAGACCAAUGUACUGUUGACCCUUGACCAACACAGGUUUAAACUGUGAAGGUCCACUUAUACAUGAAUUUUAUCCCAUCUUUGCCACCCCAAGACAGCAAGACCAACCCCUUCUCUCCCUCCUUCUCAGCCUACUCAACGUGAAGACAACAAAGAUGAAUA